rnacentral:rRNA from 1 species
GACGAACGCUGGCGGCGUGCUUAACACAUGCAAGUCGAACGGAAAGGCCCUGCUUUUGUGGGGUGCUCGAGUGGCGAACGGGUGAGUAACACGUGAGUAACCUGCCCUUGACUUUGGGAUAACUUCAGGAAACUGGGGCUAAUACCGGAUAGGAGCUCCUGCUGCAUGGUGGGGGUUGGAAAGUUUCGGCGGUUGGGGAUGGACUCGCGGCUUAUCAGCUUGUUGGUGGGGUAGUGGCUUACCAAGGCUUUGACGGGUAGCCGGCCUGAGAGGGUGACCGGCCACAUUGGGACUGAGAUACGGCCCAGACUCCUACGGGAGGCAGCAGUGGGGAAUAUUGCACAAUGGGCGGAAGCCUGAUGCAGCAACGCCGAGUGCGGGAUGACGGCCUUCGGGUUGUAACCGCUUUCGCCUGUGACGAAGCGUGAGUGACGGUAAUGGGUAAAGAAGCACCGGCUAACUACGUG